ACGUUUAUUGUGGUUAUUUUCCCAGGUGUCUUAGAAGCAGCUGUUUUGUGCUUUCCUGAACUUAAUAGUUGAAGAAUGUGGGAAAGAAAUGGCGUACUUUCUGGAGGAUUCAUUUCAUAGGUGUCUAUACAUCAGUCAAGAAAAUGACUAUAGAGGAAUUACCAAGACUGGUAAUAAAGGAUUAAGUGGCAUUGUAUUUGUACAGCACUUAGCCCAUUGCCUAGACUCAGUAAAGUCCCAGUAAAUAGUAUUAAUAUCAUUAUUAUCACCAUCAUAUUGUCUUUAGCCCUAACUAAUAGUAUAUUGCUCUCUGGUGACACGGUGUUUUUCUCCCCUCUGUGUAGGUUUUGCUUUGUUUUGCUUUGAAAGCAAAACCAAAAUUGGUGUGCCUGUUGAAAAAGUUAGUAGUUGGAAAAAGAAAAUGUAUUUUCCUAAGUGAGACCAUGAUUGUCUAUGCCAGAUAUCCGGAUUCUAGGCAGCAAAAAAGAACCAUUUUGUUUUAAUGGAACUUCGUUUCUAUGGUGUAUAGUAUAUAUUGUUGUAUGCUCUGUGCUAGGGUCUCACAUUCAGACUCCUGAAGCAGCAGGAGGAAUGAAGUAGGCUGUGGGCAGAGAGCACCCAAGUCCCACUGAAAGCCGGUGAGUCCCAUUGAAAGGCCCCUUAGCUUGAGUCAAUUGGUGUUGGGUGAAAACCUGGGUGCAGUGUCCCAAUUAUUAUUAUUAUUAUUUUAAGAAUCCAUGGAAAUCCACAUUUUCAUGUGAAUCAGAGGAUGUUUUAAAUACUGGCAGCUGUGUCUUUGAGAAUGCUGUUGGCUGCAAGAAACAAAAAAUAGUGGUCUCAACACAGAUUUAUUUUUCUUACAGAGCGAUAAGUUCAGAGGCAAUAGCUAAUGCGGGUUUAUUUGCUCACUAAUGCCAACAAGAGUCCCGGCACUUUCCAUUUUUAUGCUCUGACAUGCUUUAUUUGUUGACUUAUUUUGUAAUCCUUGUCAUGUUACAGUUGCCAUAUGUAUGUUCGAGGGAGGAUGAUGAGGAGAUGGGUCGUGCUAGCCUAAUUUGUUCCAUUUAUCAGGGAAGGAGAAACUGCCCCAGAAGCGACACAGGUGGCAUCUCCUUAUUCACUGGUUAAAACUGGAUCACUCGCUGCAAGGAAAUUUGGGGAAGCGAGUGUGCAGCUUGCCAGGCCCUGCAGUGGGCAGCGAGGGGGAGGUUGUAAAUGGCUGUGUGGUGUUUGCCAGGGCACAGUGCCUGCCCCAGCGCCCAGCUCAGCAGGAAACCCAGCUGCAGGGCCUGGAGACCCCUCGGCCUCCAGUGUGUAUCAGAAAUCUCCAGAUUUGAGCAUUGUGAAGGGAAAGUAUUAUUUGGGGAAAGGCCAGGGCUUUAUUUUUUAAUUCAGUGGUUUUGCAUUGUAUGAGAUAGGUCAUUGCUAGCAAUGAGGAAACUGCUGAGGGAACAAGAAUUUAUUUAAUUUUUAGAAAAGUUUAUCUGGAUUUUUUGUAGAGGAGUUAGAAAAGAACAUACCAUUUAAUGUUAUUUCUGGACAACUACUACAUUACAAUAAAAUAUGUAAAUUUUCCUAUACAUUUUUUUUAAAUUUAUGGAUAAACUAUAUUUGUCUUUAAUUGUUUUUAUUCUAAAACAAGUAUAUGUUUUAUAAAUCAUUCUAACCUGAUUUUGAUAACCUUUAUCAGAAAGAAAUCUUUUCUGCCUUUUUAUUUAUCUGUAUAUUUAACUUAAACACCGGGAAGCUCUUCCAAAAUGCUUUAUAAAAGCAGCCAUUUUAAGCUGAUUAAAAGCAUGUUUGAUAUGUAUGGAUGUAGUUGAAAUGCUCCCAAACCAAGUAUAUAUUUAGAUAAUUAAACUCAAGAAUUAUGGAAGUUUAAGAUUAAGAACUCUUAGUCACAGGUAAGCAUACACUAAGGAAAAUCAAAUCCGUUUGACUCCAGCCAAUCGACUCUUCUGUAAUAUUUUUGCUUACACUUUUUUGCAGCUUUACUGCUGAGUUAGCUGUUCUCUAACGUCCCUGACAAAUUUGGGAAGCCACCGUGUGUACAUAAAUUGAGAGAAAAUAUUUCUGCCAAUUCAAUCCUGAUCGUUUCUUCUCAGGGUUAUAAAAUUUGGGUUUUCAUGACCCCAAUGUUAAUUAAAAAAGAAAAGAAAAAACCCAAACAAAGCAACCCCUGAUAGUCUGAAGGGGUACUCGUCAUUGUAGGAGGGUAUUGUAGAGCCUAGGGACUGUGAAUUGGCCACCUACUGAGUAACUAGAAGCAUGGAAACCAAACUUCACAGCUUUCAUAUAAUUCCAGUGUCUAAUCACUUUGUCAGACCCAGCAAGUCAGAGAAAUCUCUAAUAAUACUAGGAUAAUUAAAUACUUCAGUAACCAUAGGCUCUAAGGUAAAAGGCAAAACUGUUUUUUAUUAGGGAAACUUAUGCUGAGACAACCUUUUAGAAUGAUUUAAGGGGGUCAAUAGAUAGGUGAACCAGUCCACUAUAAAUAAUAUGUUUAAGAUUAAAAAUACUGCCCAGAUGCUGUAUCAAAAUCUACUUUAGAGUGAAGUUGUAAUGAAGGACUAUUUUAUUUUA